ACGAACGCUGGCGGCAUGCCUAACACAUGCCAGUCGAACGAGACCUUCGGGUCUAGUGGCGCACGGGUGCGUAACGCGUGGGAACCUGCCCUUAGGUUCGGAAUAACUCCCCGAAAGGGGUGCUAAUACCGGAUAAUGUCUUCGGACCAAAGAUUUAUCGCCUUUGGAUGGGCCCGCGUUGGAUUAGCUAGUUGGUAGGGUAAAAGCCUACCAAGGCGACGAUCCAUAGCUGGUCUGAGAGGAUGAUCAGCCACACUGGGACUGAGACACGGCCCAGACUCCUACGGGAGGCAGCAGUGGGGAAUAUUGGACAAUGGGCGAAAGCCUGAUCCAGCAAUGCCGCGUGAGUGAUGAAGGCCUUAGGGUUGUAAAGCUCUUUUACCCGGGAUGAUAAUGACAGUACCGGGAGAAUAAGCGCCGGCUAACUCCGUG
rnacentral:rRNA from 1 species